rnacentral:rRNA from 1 species
CCUACGGGAGGCAGCAGUGGGGAAUAUUGGACAAUGGGCGAAAGCCUGAUCCAGCAAUGCCGCGUGUGUGAAGAAGGCCCUAGGGUUGUAAAGCACUUUCAAUGGGGAAGAAAAGCAGGGCGCUAACAUCGCUCUGUCAUGACGUUACCCAUAGAAGAAGCACCGGCUAACUCCGUGCCAGCAGCCGCGGUAAUACGGAGGGUGCGAGCGUUAAUCGGAAUUACUGGGCGUAAAGGGCGCGUAGGCGGCUCGAUAAGUUGGAUGUGAAAGCCCCGGGCUCAACCUGGGAAUUGCGUUCAAUACUGUCGGGCUGGAGUGUGGUAGAGGGAAGUGGAAUUCCCGGUGUAGCGGUGAAGUGCGUAGAUAUCGGGAGGAACACCAGUGGCGAAGGCGGCUUCCUGGACCAACACUGACGCUGAGGCGCGAAAGCGUGGGGAGCAAACAGGAUUAGAUACCCUGGUAGUCCGCGCCCUAAACGAUGAGAACUAGCCGUUGGGGGUAAUUGAAACCUUUAGUGGCGCAGCUAACGCGAUAAGUUCUCCGCCUGGGGAGUACGGCCGCAAGGUUAAAACUCAAAGGAAUUGACGG